UACGAGGGGUGCAAGCGUUAUUCGGAAUUAUUGGGCGUAAAGGGUGCGUAGACGGUAUGUUAAGUCAACUGUUAAAUCCUCCGGCCUAACCGGAGAUCAGCGGUAGAUACUGGCAUACUAGAGGGCGGAAGAGAGGAGUGGAAUUCUCGGAGUAGCGGUAAAAUGCGUAGAUCUCGAGAGGAACACCAAUGGCGAAGGCAGCUCCUUGGUCCGCUUCUGACGUUGAGGCACGAAAGCGUGGGUAGCAAACAGG
rnacentral:rRNA from 1 species